CUGUCAAAAGCAAUUCCAAACAAAAUAUAUAUUUUUUAAAUUUUAUCAAAUUUCAAGUGGACGAUCAAGUUUUGUGUGAAAAAAGGCUAAAAGUGUCUUUGGUCAAACUAAACAAGAGUGAUGGCGGCGGCAGCGUCAUCGUCGGUCUGGUCCGUUCCUGAUCGAUUUUCCAAUACGACCGACGAAACAACUUCCUAUCCCGGGACGAUCCGUUGCAGAUCGGCAAUCGAAGAUCCUGUCGCGGUAGAUACAACAUUGUCUUCCAGACUACAAAAUACGCGAAACCUUAAACGAUGAUGGACUUGAGGCAGCAAGAGGAAGUUUCAUGUGACCACGAGUGGAGAAAGUUAUAUUUAUAAAAAAAAUGAAAAUAAAUGAGAAAAUAUG
rnacentral:lncRNA from 1 species